UACGGAGGGAGCUAGCGUUGUUCGGAAUUACUGGGCGUAAAGCGUGCGCAGGCGGUUGUGCAAGACAGGUGUGAAAUCCCCGGGCUUAACCUGGGAACUGCACUUGUGACUGCACGGCUAGAGUACGGUAGAGGGAGAUGGAAUUCCGCGUGUAGCAGUGAAAUGCGUAGAUAUGCGGAGGAACACCGAUGGCGAAGGCAAUCCCCUGGACCUGUACUGACGCUCAUGCACGAAAGCGUGGGGAGCAAACAGG
rnacentral:rRNA from 1 species